UAUGCUUGUUUUGCGUUGUACGAUCGUACAAUCAUACAUAACCUUUUUAAUCUUUGUUACGUAUCAAACGACAGCUGUCAAAACGAUAGUUAUGUCGGAAGAAAAUUUGUCGAGUUCAGAAAAUGACGGGAGAGAUGCUGCAACGCUAUCAGAAUUAUUCGACAAAGCGUUUGAGCUAUUUAAUAAUAUCAAUAAAACAGACGAACCUACCAACAGUUCCAAAGUUCAGUCUGAUAUCAAACGUACCAUGAAUAUGUUAGAACAAGCUACAAGACUAGUUUCUAUAGUCGAUAUGUUUAGCCAAAAUGAAAGUUUCGAAGAAGUGGCUACGGAAAACAUCAAAUACUUUUUACUGCCAGCGUUCCUCGGUACACUCGCUACAAAAAUUUGUAACGCAGAUGAUCGACUGCACAUCGUUAACGUAGCUGAAAUUUAUUUCGUGGAUUUUUUGAAACGCGUUAAGACUUAUGGUUUGACCAACAUCGAAGUGCCCGAUAUUAAUCCGGAGCGUGAGAAAGAAAGCGUAUCCGAGAGAGUUCGAACGAAUGCUGAAUUAAUUACCGAAAUGGUAAAUCGACGAAACACGAAACUACAGAGAUUCAAGGAGCAAAAAGAGUUGGAAUCGCGUUUGGAAAUUUUAAAGAAAAGUCUGUCAGAUCCAAACAUAGAUGAUGAGGUUAAAAGAGAAUAUUUCGUAAUGCUUAUCAAAUUAUACGUAAAUUUGACAAUAGAAGAACUGAACUCGUUAGCAGCCGAAAAGCCAAUUUUGGAACAUAUGAAAAACAUGGGAAAAUCUGGAACCAUGUCCACCCAGAUUUCGCAAAAACGUAAACCGCCUGCUCCAAAACUGCAACCAAUUAUUAUCACUCGAGAUGAAGUAGAGAAAAAGGUGUUUGGAGUUGGUUAUCCUAGUUUACCUGUUCUUACCGUUCAAGAAUUUUAUGACCAACGAGUGAAAGAAGGAGACUGGCCCGAUCCUUCGCAACAGCAUCAAACAAAUUCAAAAUGCUUGCAAGAUUUAGUAAACAGACAAGGAAUGAAUAAUGAAGAAGAUGAUAUCAAAAAAGAAGAAAUGAUCGAAGCUGAUGAUCCAGAAACCUUGAGACAGUUACGUGCCAUGGAUGAAUAUAAAGAUACACACAGAAGAGGAUGGGGCAACCGUGCUAAUAGGAGUUGAACAUGAAAAAAUUCCAUUAUAUUAUAUAUAUUCAAUGUUACAGACAAGUAAGUUAAUGGUUAAUCGUGAUUGGAAAUUACCAAGAGGGAAAGUAAGGUUUGAAUGUUUGAAGCAUUGACUAAAGACAGGAUAGACGUGAUAAUAUAUGAGCGUGACAUUAUACAUAUAUACUGGCAUGGAUAAACACUCAAGUGACAUGAAAAUGAAAAGCUGUUUUGAGAGAAGAAACAACAUUCAAGAUACUACAAGCAGCCAGCAACAACAAACAAGCAAUGAUCUUCUUGGAAAUCAUUAUAUAAUACAAAUCAAAAAUGAGAUUGUUAAUUGUAGAAUAAUUAUACAAAGUGUAUUUAAAAAGAGUUUCAAUAAAUCAGAAUAGUUUAACAGCA